rnacentral:rRNA from 1 species
UACGUAGGGUGCAAGCGUUAAUCGGAAUACUGGGCGUAAAGCGUGCGCAGGCGGUUUUGUAAGUCAGAUGUGAAAAUCCCCCGGGCUUAACCUGGGACUGCGUUUGAAACUACAAGGCUAGAGUGUGGCAGAGGGGGGGUGGAAUUCCACGUGUAGCAGUGAAAUGCGUAGAGAUGUGGAGGAACACCGAUGGCGAAGGCAGCCCCCUGGGUUAACACUGACGCUCAGGCACGAAAGCGUGGGGAGCAAACAGG